UACUAGGUGGUGAGACCCCGCGUUCGACGCGGGGUGCCCAUAUUAACUGAAUUGGUUGUUAUUUGUUGGUUUUGGUCGAAGUAAUUUAUGUUUGUAAAGAUAUUACGAUAAUUUGUAAGUAAUAUUAAGUUGUUGGUGAUUGCAAAGAUAGAUAGAGAGGUGAAAAUCACGUAGGCUCUAGUCUGUCACCGAAAGAACAAAAUCACGUUGUUGUUUGAACAAAAACUGAUGCAUGCCUAACCAGUGUUUUUGCAUGUCUAACAAAAGUAGAUUUUUUGUCAUCUCUUUUCUUGAUUACGAAGUUCAAUCAAGCUUUGGAUGUUUUGUUGUCUUUGUCAGUUCUUCCUCAAGACUUCGUUUUACUGAAGAUGAGGGACCUUUGUGGCUGCCUUGGUCUGUUGAGACAACAGAUAAGGUUGAUGUUGGAAUGAGGCUCGGGGAAACUUCUUCAAUAGAAGCAACAUUUUCUGUGGUGCUAUCUUUUAGAAAGGAUGGUGGAGUUGCAACUAACUCUGAUGACUGUAUUUCAGCAAUUUGGUGAGUUUGUGGAUGCUGUUCUGGUUCUUCUGGAAUGAAAGUUGUGAGGAAAAAUAGUGGAAGAAGGUGCUUCUGAGAGGGAAGAUAUGAUCUCAUUUCACAGAGGAAAUUCUGAUUUUGCAAUUUUUCAUUAAUUCUGCUAAAAGGCAGCAAUUCUCCCUGUAA
rnacentral:lncRNA from 1 species